UGCUCCUGGAGCGGCCGAUAUCUGAUUAGCUAGUUGGUAGGGUAAAAGCCUACCAAGGCAUCGAUCAGUAGCUGGUCUGAGAGGACGACCAGCCACACUGGAACUGAGACACGGUCCAGACUCCUACGGGAGGCAGCAGUGGGGAAUUUUGGACAAUGGGCGCAAGCCUGAUCCAGCAAUGCCGCGUGAGUGAAGAAGGCCUUCGGGUUGUAAAGCUCUUUUGUCAGGGAAGAAAAGGCUACGGAUAAUACCUGUGGCUCAUGACGGUACCUGAAGAAUAAGCACCGGCUAACUACGUGCCAGCAGCCGCGGUAAUACGUAGGGUGCAAGCGUUAAUCGGAAUUACUGGGCGUAAAGCGUGCGCAGGCGGUUUUGUAAGACUGUCGUGAAAUCCCCGGGCUCAACCUGGGAAUGGCGAUGGUGACUGCAAGGCUAGAGUUUGGCAGAGGGGGGUAGAAUUCCACGUGUAGCAGUGAAAUGCGUAGAUAUGUGGAGGAACACCGAUGGCGAAGGCAGCCCCCUGGGUCAAAACUGACGCUCAUGCACGAAAGCGUGGGGAGCAAACAGGAUUAGAUACCCUGGUAGUCCACGCCCUAAACGAUGUCUACUAGUUGUCGGGUCUUAAUUGACUUGGUAACGCAGCUAACGCGUGAAGUAGACCGCCUGGGGAGUACGGUCGCAAGAUUAAAACUCAAAGGAAUUGACGGGGACCCGCACAAGCGGUGGAUGAUGUGGAUUAAUUCGAUGCAACGCGAAAAACCUUACCUACCCUUGACAUGGAUGGAAUCCUCGAGAGAUUG
rnacentral:rRNA from 1 species